GCCACCUGUGACAUCACGGGGGAGGGGACAGGUGAGCUUUUGGGGGUCCCAGGUGGAUUUGGGGGGUCCCCAAUGGUUUUUAGGUCGGUCCAGGUGGUUUUUGGGCAGUUCCAGGUGGGUUUUGGGCAGUUCCAGGUGGGUUUUGGGCUGUUCCAGGAGUUUCUGGGGGGUUUCAGGUGCUUUUUGGGGGGAUCCAGGUGUCCUGGGAGGGAUCCAGGUGUGUCCGGGCAGGGUGCAGGUGCCCAGGUGUGCUGGGAACUGCUGAUCCAGGUGUGCAGGAACCCGAAUAUCUGGGCGGGCUGGGACUCAGGUGUGAGGGAUCCAGGUGUGAGGGAUCCAGGUGUGAGGGGGGAUCCAGGUGUGAGGGAUCCAGGUGUGAGGGACUCAGGUGUGAGGGGGGGAUCCAGGUGUGAGGGAUCCAGGUGUGGGGGAUCCAGGUGUGAGGGAUCCAGGUGUGUGAGGGAUCCAGGUGCCCAGGUGUGGGUGGGACUUGGUUAUCCAGGUGUGAUGUCACCUGGUUAUGACAUCACCCCCACCCAGGUGUGACGUCACCAGCUCACCUAGCCAUGACAUCACCUGCCCACACCCCCCUCCUGCCCAGGUGUGACAUCAUCCAGGUGUGACAUCAUCCAGGUGUGAUGGGAGUCACUCAGGUGUCCCAGGUGCCACUGCUCAGCUGUCCCCUGCCCCAUGUCCCUGUCCCCCCACAGGUGCCCCUGUGCCUCACAAAGCUGUCCCUGCACCUGCCCAAGUGUGGCAGGUGCCACUCAGGUGUCACUCAGGUGUGACAUUACCUGCCCAGGUGUCACUCAGGUGUCACAGGUGUCACUCAGGUGUGACAUUACCUGUCCAGGUGUCACAGGUGUCACUCAGGUGGGGCAUUACCUGCCCAGGUGUCACUCAGGUCUCACAGGUGUCACUCAGGUGUGACAUUAGCUGUCCAGGUGUCACUCAGGUGUCACAGGUGUGUCUCAGGUUGGGAUGGGCUGUGUAUUCUGUUUCUCUCUGCUGGGGCAGUUCUCUCCUGCUCAUCGCGCAGUUUUCUUUAUCCCUUCCACAGCCAAUCCUCCCUCCAGGAGAGAUCUGCUGUUAAUGAGCCAUUAAUUAUUAAUUAUCUCCUGCUCCUGGGCCAGUGAGUGUCACUGCAUGGCUGAUAAAAAUUUGGAACAGCAGAGAGUCUUUCCCACUGCAUUCCCAGAGCAGCAGCAGCUUUCUUCUUAUUUUGUUUUUUUGACUUUGUUUUUAUACUUUUUUAAUUUUUUUUUUUUUACUAUUUUUAUUCUUAUUUUUAUCUUAUUUAUAUUUUGGGUUUAUAUCAGUUUUAUUUAUAUACUUUUAAAUUUUUUUAUCUUAUUAAUAUUUUAUUUCUACCUUUAGAUUAUUUAUUUUUUUCAUUUAAAAUUUUAAAUUUUAUUUUAAUCUAAUUUUUAUUUUUAUUUCUGUCUUUUUAUUUCUUGAAUUUUUAUUCUUUAUUUUAUUUUUAUCUUAUUUUUAUUUUUAUCCUUUUAUUAUUUAUUACUUUGUUUUAUUUUUAUUUCAUUUUUAUUCUUAUUUCCAUAUUACAUUUUAUUUUAUUUUAUUUUAUUUUAUUUUAUUUUAUUUUAUUUUAUUUUAUUUUAUUUUAUUUUA